rnacentral:rRNA from 1 species
UACGUAGAGGGCAAGCGUUGUCCGGAUUUAUUGGACGUAAAGAGCGUGUAGGCGGUUAGGUAGGUCCGUUGUGAAAACUCGAGGCUCAACCUCGAGACGCCGAUGGAAACCAUCUAACUAGAGUCCGGAAGAGGCGAGUGGAAUUCCUGGUGUAGCGGUGAAAUGCGCAGAUAUCAGGAGGAACACCAAUGGCGAAGGCAGCUCGCUGGGACGGUACUGACGCUGAGACGCGAAAGCGUGGGGAGCAAACAGG